AUCUUAAAUAAAAAAUAAAAUAAUAUUAAAUUUUCUUAAGUAAUUUUAUAUUUUUAAAAGUUUGAAUUAAUUAAAAGAGUCUACAGUCAUACAAGUAUUGUGGCAAUUCCAAAAAACCUACAAUCUAUUGUACUUCUCUAAGUUUUUCUAUUUAUUCUUCAAAUCAACUUUAGUGUAUCUAUAGAAAUGCAUCUCUAUUAUCAUUCAAGGUCUUCUUCUAAUGUCUUUUCUUAUGUUUGUAAAUUUGCCACUUCAAAAAAUUAACCUCUUCUUCUAAUUAUCACUUUUGUAUUUGUCUUUGUAUCAAGUUUGAUUCAACCAUAAGAGAGGAGUUAUGAAAUUUACAUUCACGUAUAGUUUGCCCAAAAUUACAAAUAAGCACUUCUGAAUGACCAUCAAUUUUUUCAAGGGACCAUUGUUAUAAUACGUGAAGUCUUGCUUGAGAAUGCUCUGGGUACUUGGCUGUGGAAGGUAGAAUAGAAAUUACAACAAAAAAAUCCUAACUAUAAUAGAAUAUUAACUAAAUUCUAAUUAGACCAUAAUAAUGCUAAGCAAGCUUUAAUCAAAUUUAAAAAAAAACCUCAAAGAAUUUUCAAAGAAACAAUAAGAAAUCUUAAAGAAAUAUAAGAAUGAUGACAAAUAUCUCUCAAAUACAUCCCAAUUCAAUCUCAAUUUAAUCUUAGUUAAAAUAUUAAUGAACAUUCAAAGUUUAGUCCAAAAAUAAUUAAAUUUUAAACCCUAAAGAAACCCUAAUAAAAUCCUAAACUCUAAACCAAAUCCCAAUCAAACCCUAAAUCAAACCCUAAACCAAAUUUUAAUCAAAUCUUAAUUAUAUUCUAAUCAAAUCCUAAACCCUAAACCAAACCUUAAUCAAAUCUUAAAUCCUAAGUCCUAAAUCAAAUCCUAAAAAAAUCCUAAACCAAAUCCUAAUCGAAUCCUAAUCAAACCCUAAACCUAAAUCAAAUCGUUAACUCUAAAUCAAAUCCUAAUCAAAUCCUAAUCUAAAUCCUAAUUAAACCUUAAUUAAAUCCUAAAUCUUAAACCAAAUCCUAAACAAAUCUUAAAUCUUAAAUCAAACCCUAACCAAAUCCUAACUCUAAAUCAAAUCCUAACCAAACUCUAAAUCCUAAACCAAUUCCUAAUCAAACCCUAGUAAUUCCUAUAAUAGAUUUAAACUUCAAUAAUUAAUGAAUAAAUCUUUGAUCUUAACUCAAAUUUUGCACACUUCUUACAAAAUAAGUUUAAAAUAAGCACAAAAAAUUUGGAAAGAAUCAGAAUUACCAAAUUGAUGAUAACCUCAAAAAUGUGCUCGGAUAUUGGCCGUCCUCUUCUCCAACCUUGAUGCCAAUCUUCUAGAGCCAAUAUCUCUCCUUUUCACUGUUCGAUUGAUUUCAAAUUUCUCAUACACAUAGAAAAACAAGUCUAAUAUCCUUUUACAUAAAUUUCAUUCUAAUCCAACUAUUAGAUUGCAAGAAGUCUUUAAAAUCCUCUUUGGACCUAAAAUUCUACUUUUUGAGACCUUGACCCACUUAAACCUCAAUAACCCUCAAUUCAACUAUUUGAUUGAAUUCAAAUUUAUAACACAUAUUAAACACAACUAUAACCAUAAACCCACAAAAUUUCACUUUUAGAUCUAUUACAAAACUCUUGAAAUCAUCCAAAAUAUAAAUCCUAUUUUAUUUCAUAAAAUCCAAGUCAUCCAAAACAAACCUUGACUUUGCAAAGUUCUUACAAAGUCAUAACAACUCCAAAACGCCCAAAAUCAAUGCUCAUAGAAACCUUA
rnacentral:lncRNA from 1 species